GCUCCUCUCUCCAUAGGAUUCUUGGGCAAGAAUACUGGAGUGGGUUGCCAUUUCCUUCUCCAGGGGAUCUUCCCACCCCAGGAACUGAAUCCAGGUCUCUUGCUUUGCAGGCAGAGUCUUAACCAACUGAGCUACACGGGAAGCCGAUACGGAUGGGCUUAAUAAAAUCUUGGGCAUAGGUAGACGACACUUCUAUCAAAAUGAUCAGCAGAUGCCUUUAUUGCGGUGGAAUGAACAAGGGCUUUAUGUUACAACAGGUUCUAUCACUGGCUUCACUGCUGUGUGACUACAGCAAAGGACCAGAGAAAUCCAUCCCUGCCUCCAGAGGGAAGAGAGAGGUAUAAAAC
ensembl:lncRNA